CCUACGGGAGGCAGCAGUGGGGGAUAUUGCACAAUGGGGGGAACCCUGAUGCAGCGACGCCGCGUGGGUGAAGAAGCGCCUCGGCGCGUAAAGCCCUGUCAGCAGGGAAGAAAAGGACGGUACCUGAAGAAGAAGCCCCGGCUAACGACGUGCCAGCAGCCGCGGGAAUACGUCGGGGGCAAGCGUUCUCCGGAUUUACUGGGUGUAAAGGGGGCGGAGACGGCGAUGCAAGCCAGGAGUGAAAGCCCGGGGCCCAACCCCGGGACUGCUCGUGGAACUGCGUGGCUGGAGUGCAGGAGGGGCAGGCGGAAUUCCUGGUGUAGCGGUGACCUGCGUAGAUAUCCGGAGGAACACCGGUGGCGAAGGCGGCCUGCUGGACUGCAACUGACGUUGCGGCCCGAAAGCGUGGGGAGCACACAGGAUUAGAUACCCGUGUAGUC
rnacentral:rRNA from 1 species